ACCUGGGUGGCUCAGUCAGUUGAGCAUCUGACUUCGGCUCAGGUCAUGAUCUCACGGUUCAUGAGUUCAAGCCCCAUGUCAGGCU
rnacentral:tRNA from 1 species